rnacentral:rRNA from 1 species
UCCCGACGCUCCAAGUCGCAGCCACAAUUAUUGGGUCUAAAACAUUCGUAGUUUGCUUUGUAAGUUCUUUGUGAAAUUUUACAUCUUAAGUGUAAAGCGUGCAAAGAAUACUGCAUAGCUUGGGACUGGAAGAAGCAAGAAGUACAUUUAAUGUAGUAGUAAAAUACGUUAAUCUUAAAUGGACUAACAACAGCGAAGGCAUCUUGCUAGUACAGAUCUGACGAUGAGGAAUGAAGGCUAGGGUCGCGAAAGG